GAGUUUUGAUCCUGGCUCAGGAUGAACGCUAGCUACAGGCUUAACACAUGCAAGGUCGAGGGGAAACGACAUCGAAAGCUUGCUUUUGAUGGUCGUCGACCGGCGCACGGGUGAGUAACGCGUAUCCAACCUGCCCACCACGUUGGGGAUAACCUUGCGAAAGUAAGACUAAUACCCAAUGAUAUCUCUAGAAGACAUCUGAAAGAGAUUAAAGAUUUAUCGGUGAUGGAUGGGGAUGCGUCUGAUUAGCUUGUUGGCGGGGUAACGGCCCACCAAGGCAACGAUCAGUAGGGGUUCUGAGAGGAAGGUCCCCCACAUUGGAACUGAGACACGGUCCAAACUCCUACGGGAGGCAGCA
rnacentral:rRNA from 1 species